AUUGAACGCUGGCGGCAGGCCUAACACAUGCAAGUCGAGCGGAAGAGGAAAGCUUGCUUUUCGAUUCAGCGGCGGACGGGUGAGUAAUGCCUAGGAAUCUGCCUGUUAGUGGGGGAUAACUCGGGGAAACUCGGGCUAAUACCGCAUACGUCCUACGGGAGAAAGGGGGGGAUCUUCGGACCUCACGCUAACAGAUGAGCCUAGGUCGGAUUAGCUAGUAGGUGAGGUAAUGGCUCACCUAGGCGACGAUCCGUAACUGGUCUGAGAGGAUGAUCAGUCACACUGGAACUGAGACACGGUCCAGACUCCUACGGGAGGCAGCAGUGGGGAAUAUUGGACAAUGGGCGAAAGCCUGAUCCAGCCAUGCCGCGUGUGUGAAGAAGGUCUUCGGAUUGUAAAGCACUUUAAGUUGGGAGGAAGGGUAUUCACCUAAUACGUGGGUACUUUGACGUUACCAACAGAAUAAGCACCGGCUAACUCUGUGCCAGCCGCCGCAGUAACAC
rnacentral:rRNA from 1 species